rnacentral:rRNA from 1 species
UACGGGGGGGGGCAAGCGUUGUUCGGAAUUACUGGGCGUAAAGGGCUCGUAGGCGGCCAACUAAGUCCGACGUGAAAUCCCCAGGCUUAACCUGGGAACUGCGUCGGAUACUGGAUGGCUUGAAUUCGGGAGAGGGAUGCAGAAUUCCAGGUGUAGCGGUGAAAUGCGCAGAUAUCAGGAGGAACACCGGUGGCGAAGGCGGGUCUCUGGGCCGAAUACUGACGCUGGAGGAGCGAAAGCGUGGGGAGC